rnacentral:rRNA from 1 species
GGAAAAGAAACCAACAGGGAUUGCCCUAGUAACGGCGAGUGAAGCGGCAACAGCUCAAAUUUGAAAUCUGGCCUUUGGUCCGAAUUGUAAUUUGUAGAGGAUGCUUUUGGUGCGGUUCUUUCCGAGUUCCCUGGAACGGGACGCCUUAGAGGGUGAGAGCCCCGUACGGUUGGAUACCAAGCCUUUGUAUAGCUCCUUCGACGAGUCGAGUAGUUUGGGAAUGCUGCUCUAAAUGGGAGGUAAAUUUCUUCUAAAGCUAAAUACCGGCCAGAGACCGAUAGCGCACAAGUAGAGUGAUCGAAAGAUGAAAAGCACUUUGAAAAGAGGGUUAAAUAGCACGUGAAAUUGUUGAAAGGGAAGCGUUUAUGACCAGACUUUUUCCAAGCGGAUCAUCCGGUGUUCUCACCGGUGCACUUCGCUUGGUUGAGGCCAGCAUCGGUUUUCGUAGAGGGAUAAAAGCUUUAGGAAUGUGGCUCUUCGGAGUGUUAUAGCCUAUUGUAUAAUACCUUUAUGGGGACCGAGGUUCGCGCUCUGCAAGGAUGCUGGCGUAAUGGUCAUCAACGACCCGUCUUGAAACACGGACCAAGGAGUCGAACAUUUGUGCGAGUGUUUGGGUGUUAAACCCUCACGCGUAAUGAAAGUGAACGGAGGUGAGAGCCUUAGGGUGCAUCAUCGACCGAUCCUGAUGUUUUCGGAUGGAUUUGAGUAAGAGCAUAACUGUUCGGACCCGAAAGAUGGUGAACUAUGCGUGGAUAGGGUGAAGCCAGAGGAAACUCUGGUGGAGGCUCGCAGCGGUUCUGACGUGCAAAUCGAUCGUCAAAUCUGCGCAUGGGGCGAAAGACUAAUCG